CAGUAGCCGCGGGAAUACAGAGGGUGCGAGCGUUAAUCGGAUUUACUGGGCGUAAAGCGCACGCAGGCGGUUUGUUAAGUCAGAUGUGAAAUCCCCGAGCUUAACUUGGGAACUGCAUUUGAAACUGGCAAGCUAGAGUCUUGUAGAGGGGGGUAGAAUUCCAGGUGUAGCGGUGAAAUGCGUAGAGAUCUGGAGGAAUACCGGUGGCGAAGGCGGCCCCCUGGACAAGGACUGACGCUCAGGUGCGAAAGCGUGGGGAGCAAACAGGAUUAGAUACCCCAGUAGUCCCUGUCUCUUAUAC
rnacentral:rRNA from 1 species